GACGAACGCUGGCGGCGUGCCUAAUACAUGCAAGUCGAACGCAGUGGGGACGGGUGCGUAACACGUGGGUAACCUCCCCAUCAGAGGGGAUAACACUUGGAAACUGGUGCUAAACCGAUACUGAUGGAUGGACCCGCGGUGCAUUAGCUGGUUGGUGAGGUAACGGCUCACCAAGGCAACGAUGCAUAGCGGACCUGGGCGGGGGAUCGGCCACACUGGAACUGAGACACGGCCCAGACUCCUACGGGAGGCAGAAGUAGGGAAUCGUCGGCAAUGGACGAAAGUCGGACCGAGAAACGCCGCGUGAGUGAAGAAGGUUUGCGGAUCGUAAAACUCUGUUGUUAGAGAAGCGGUAUCUAACCAGAAAGCCACGGCUAACUACGUGCCAGCAGCCGCGGUAAUAC
rnacentral:rRNA from 1 species